rnacentral:rRNA from 1 species
UACGUAGGGCGCAAGCGUUGUCCGGAAUUAUUGGGCGUAAAGAGCUCGUAGGCGGCUUGUCGCGUCGAAUGUGAAAUCCCGAGGCUCAACUUCGGGCUUGCAUUCGAUACGGGCAGGCUAGAGUUCGGUAGGGGAGACUGGAAUUCCUGGUGUAGCGGUGAAAUGCGCAGAUAUCAGGAGGAACACCGGUGGCGAAGGCGGGUCUCUGGGCCGAUACUGACGCUGAGGAGCGAAAGCGUGGGGAGCGAACAGG